UAAGAAAGCACAAAUGGCUUGGUAAGCUAC
rnacentral:piRNA from 1 species